GACGAACGCUGGCGGCGUGCUUAACACAUGCAAGUCGAACGAAGAGCGACGGAAGCUUGCUUCUAUCAAUCUUAGUGGCGGACGGGUGAGUAACGCGUAAUCAACCUGCCCUUCAGAGGGGGACAACAGUUGGAAACGACUGCUAAUACCGCAUACGAUCUAAUCUCGGCAUCGAGGAUGGAUGAAAGGUGGCCUCUACAUGUAAGCUAUCACUGAAGGAGGGGAUUGCGUCUGAUUAGCUAGUUGGAGGGGUAACGGCCCACCAAGGCGAUGAUCAGUAGCCGGUCUGAGAGGAUGAACGGCCACAUUGGGACUGAGACACGGCCCAGACUCCUACGGGAGGCAGCAGUGGGGAAUCUUCCGCAAUGGACGAAAGUCUGACGGAGCAACGCCGCGUGAGGGAUGACGGCCUUCGGGUUGUAAAGCUCUGUUAAUCGGGACGAAAGGCCUUCUUGCGAAUAGUGAGAAGGAUUGACGGUACCGGAAGAGAAAGCCACGGCUAACUACGUG
rnacentral:rRNA from 1 species